AUGAGUGUAAAAGUACAAAAUGUUUGCCUUCAUGGUGCCAUUGAUUGAACUAGCUGCUUGGCUUGCCAUUUCUUUCCCUGUUUCCACAUGACAACAAGAUAUUUAUCAGUACCCUCAACUGAUAACAAUUAACAUCAAAGUAAUUUUCUCUUAACAAGAGAAUCAACAUUUUCAAAUACAAAUUUCAUUACCCACGUAAAGAAAAUUUUUAACAGCUGUCAAGACCACACAUUAGUGUAAAAUUUCAUCACCAACAUUUCCUUUAACAGCCUUUGAAUAAUAUCACCACAUUACAAAGAACAAUAACUCAUUCAUCAAAGAUUCAAAUCAAAAUCUCAAGUGUCUUUUCUUUCUCAUUCAAAAAAAUCUAAACUUUCCACUAAUAUAUGAAAUAUUUCAAAUAUUUCCUCCCAUAAUAAGACAUAUAUUAUUAACAUACUUACUUCAUCAGAUGAAAUGUCAAGGAUACCUUCUUUUUAAGUUUGGACCUUCAGUUUCAUUCCGUUGUUUGAAUUCAUUUGACCCCUAAAUUUUGCACAUGUCAUUGUCCUCCUGUAGACAUAUAUAUUAAAACAUAUUGUACAAAUAGGUCAGAAGUUAAUACUCUCAAUGAUGUAAAAUUGAAACAAGACAAUAGUGAGAUUAUAGGAAAAUAACUAGAUUGCCAAAAAUUUUGUGAGAACAUUUUCGGCCCUUCGUUUCAACCCCCCCCCCCCCCCCCCCCCAGUCAUAUGCAUAAUUGGAUAUGAAGCAACAAAGUAAGCAACAAAGUAGAUUCAGAUUCUAAAACUACAAAUAAUGCUUACCUAACAAUUAAACGCAUCCGCAAGGCACAGUUGCAUUCUAAUGAUUCCAAUGCAAAAUAAUUCAAAAUCGUCAAGGCAUCAAACAUGAAAAAACAAAUUUGUUACCUGCUCAAUAAGUGAAACGGCAGGUGAGGUCGUUGGGCGACGAUAACCAAUGACAGAUGAUUAUGGAACUACAACCCACACUCACAUCGUCACAUCCCACACAUGAGUUACUAUUUACCAACUCAAAGAAUUAACAAGAAGAUCAAAUGUCAAAACAAAGGUAUCUUAUAAUGAAAAAAAAUGUUAAAUAUAUAUAACCCCAAACUGCAACUUUCCUUCCAUUUGAAAACUUCAUCACAAUUCUACAAUGUUUAUAGGCUUUUGAUGUACAUAUUGUUCUCAAUUAUGAUCAUAAUUGGAUUAUUAUAUUUAUGUUUUAUGUAGUUUAGGAGCUUCUGUAAUCUCCAAGAACAAUGUAAAGCCAUUAAACAACAUGGAGAAGAAAAUAAAUAAACACGUGACAAAAGAAAAUAAAGUUAGGCAUUUUCUUCUUCAAAAUUAAAAUUUAUUAUAUGUGAAUCUAAAAAAUUAAGAGAAAUAAUUUCAGUCCAUAUGAAUCAAAGAUAUUAUUCCUAAGUUUGAUAAGACUGGUGAUGAAACCUUUCAACCUUAAGAAAGAUAUCAUGCUCUUUCAACCUUAAGAGAGAUUAACAUUAAAAAUUAUGGAUUAUUCUCUUUUACGUAGCUAGCCCAUUAUUCUUAAGAAUCUCUGUAAUUGUGACAACAGUAGUGAUUGUUGUAAUAUUACAAAGAAGGAUUGUCCAGGUAGUACAAUUACUCAAAUCAUAAACAAAACGAGAAUCAAUAAAAGUAUAACUUUGAAGUCAUUUAAACUAAUAUCAAUAAAAACUAAUCCAAUUCUCCCAAAUUAAUCAACUUACCAAAUAUCACCUAAGAAGAUUUUGCAUGCAAAUCAAUUCACAAGUAAAAAAAAAAAAAAAAAAGUUUGUAGACCAUAGCUCUUAGAAAGCUCUUAAUGACAAGAAUUAAAAGCUAGGAAUUGAUAACUCAGGUAACGGAAAACAAUAAAAGAAUUAGACAAAAAUAUAUAGGGAUAAGUUAGACUUAUUGAAUUGGUGAGAUUAUCAUGAGUUGCAGCCAAAUUUGUCCAGUCACGCAAAUAAGAAGCUGCACCAAUUUUGGGUUGGAACGUACACAUUUAUUAUUAAAUUAAGUUAGCAUGCAUAGUCAUCAUUACAGUAGAUCGAUCACUUGUUUUAAUAACGAAAUUACAACAAGUCUUGUCACUAACCAAAUAUCAAUCACUUGUUUGGUACGUAGCUUCGUCAUUACAGUAGAUCGAUCGAUUAUUAGUGCAAGACCUAAUAAAAGCACAAUAAUUUUCAAGAGUUACAAACUAGGUUCAACACUUUGUAAGAGAUUAAAAUGAUCAAGUGAAGCUUGAGAACAAAAAAACUAAAGAGAGUAAUACAAUCCACCAACUAAAUAAAACACUAUCAUGUAAUAUACUCUAUGUAAAAGAGGUUGCUAAAAAGUGUUUAAGUGACAAUAUCGCUUAUACCUAGUGAUAUGAAAAACCAAAAGUUUGAAAAUAGAUUAUCAUCAAGAAAGUUUUUCUAUUUUUAAUGGCAAAUACUCAUGUUUAAUUUAAUUUAACUUGCUAAAUUGUAUAUGUCAUUCAAUUAGAAGCAAUAAGUUAGGUUAUACAACAACUUACUCUCAAGUUAGUAACAAAUUAGUCUUGUAAUUUCAAAUUUAGAACAAUUCAGUCCAUACCAUAACAAAUGUUCAAUGCGAAGCCAUAUCAUUAGCAAUUAAUGCUACCACAACCGCAACCCCAACUUGUGUCAUGGCCAAUGAUAUGGCUGGGAUGGCCGCAUCCGCAUCCUGAUAAUCAAUUCUUUGAGGCAAAUCAAGAUAACAAUCAUAGAUGUUGUACAGUUAUGUAAGAGUUUUGAAUAAGAUUAAAUGUAGAAACUAUGAAUUAUCACUCAAUAUAUGAAUGCAAUAGUUUCUUCCUUUGUUUCUUGAAGAAUAAUACCAAAUUCUUGUUGUUCCUUUUACUAGAUUUUUACCAUUUUUUUUGUGUGAAGUAAAGUUCUUUAAAGAAAGAAAGUAGAAGGGUAUUUUUAAUAUGCAAGACAAUUAGGUUUUUACAAGAUUCAUUAGAAUCUCAUUAAGAUCAACAUAUACAACCAAACAAAAGCUUUGACCAAAAAGGAAAAAUAUAUAUAAAAAAAGACACAACUACUAAUAUUUUUGCAUCUUAAACUAACAUCACAUUCAUUCAUACCUAGAUAUACAAACACCUUAAAAACUGGAUUUUUUUUUUUUUUUAGUAAUUUCAUCAAACACAUGGUGGGCAAAUUGAAAUUUGGUAAGACCAUAAGAACUUUCCAAUAACAAAUGCCCUUUUCCCUCAAGGGUACGAUAAAAACAGAGUCCAUAUUGUUUCAUAAACAAAUUCAACAUACCUUCCUCCAUAAAAAAAAAUUCUUCGCUCGCUCCUUCUAAAGAGAAAAUC
rnacentral:lncRNA from 1 species